rnacentral:rRNA from 1 species
GACAGAGGUCCCGAGCGUUAGGCGGAAUCACUGGGCUUAAAGCGUGUGUAGGCGGAUGCCUAAGUACCUUGUGAAAUCCCACGGCUCACCCGUGGAACUGCUUGGUAUACUGGGUGUCUUGAGCCACUUAGGGGCUACCGGAACAAAUGGUGGAGCGGUGAAAUGCGUAGAUAUCAUUUGGAACGCCAAUGGUGAAAACAGGUAGCUGGGAGUGUGCUGGCGCUGAGACACGAAAGCCAGGGGAGCAAACGGG